AGAGUUUUGAAUCUGUGACGAGAUUUCAUUAUACACCAGGCCAUAAGGACUGAUGAGAUCCACAAGAUGAGUGGAUUA
rfam:Schistosoma mansoni strain Puerto Rico chromosome W, complete genome